rnacentral:rRNA from 1 species
AGAACUGCCAGCGAAAAAAAGCGCACGGCCUAACUUACCGUGCCCGCCAGGCCGCGGGUAUACGUUAGGGGCGCCAGCCGUUUCCCGGGAAAUAAUUAGGCGUAAAAGAAGCUCGGUAGGCGGGUUUGUCGGCUUCUGGCUGUGAAAUCCCGAGGGCUCAAACCUCCGGCUCUGCCAGCGGGUACGGGCCGGACUAGAGUGCGGUAGGGGAAGAUUGGAAUUCCUUGUUGUAGCGGUGAAUGCGCAGAUAUCAGGAGGAACCCGAUGGCGAAGGCAGAUCUCUGGGCCGUUACUGACGCUGAGGAAGCGAAAGGGUGGGGAGGCAAACAAGGCUUAGAUACCCUGGUAGUCUCACCCCGGUAAAACGUUGGGAACUAGUUGUGGGGUCCAUUCCACGGAUCCGUGACGCAGCUAACGCAUUAAGUUCCCCGCCUGGGGAGUACGGCCGCAAGGCUAAAACUCAAAGGAAUUGACGGGGACCCGCACAAGCGGCGGAGCAUGCGGAUUAAUUCGAUGCAACGCGAAGAACCUUACCAAGGCUUGACAUAUACGAGAACGGGCCAGAAAUGGUCAACUCUUUGGACACUCGUAAACAGGUGGUGCAUGGUUGUCGUCAGCUCGUGUCGUGAGAUGUUGGGUUAAGUCCCGCAACGAGCGCAACCCUCGUUCUAUGUUGCCAGCACGUAAUGGUGGGAACUCAUGGGAUACUGCCGGGGUCAACUCGGAGGAAGGUGGGGAUGACGUCAAAUCAUCAUGCCCCUUAUGUCUUGGGCUUCACGCAUGCUACAAUGGCCGGUACAAAGGGCUGCAAUACCGCGAGGUGGAGCGAAUCCCAAAAAGCCGGUCCCAGUUCGGAUUGAGGUCUGCAACUCGACCUCAUGAAGUCGGAGUCGCUAGUAAUCGCAGAUCAGCAACGCUGCGGUGAAUACGUUCCCGGGUCUUGUACACACCGCCCGUCAAGUCAUGAAAGUCGGUAACACCUGAAACCGGUGGCCCAACCCUUGUGGAAGAGCGUCGCAGUGCACGUCUUUGUCGUCCACCG